UAUAUCCCUCAAAGUUUCUAUACUCAAAUGGACUAGAAAACAAAACAAAAGAUACUAUCUUAGUUCAUUGUCUGUAAUUGUAACCACAUGACACAGCCUGGGUAAUUUCUUAAAGAAAAUAGAUUUGUUGGGUUCUACUGUGGAGACUGGAAGUUUCAAGAACACAGCAACAGUGUCUGACUAGGGCCCUCUUGCUACAUCGUAGCAUGACCAGGGCAUCACUAGGGAGACAGAGCAGAUGUGAUAACGAGCUUUCUCUACUUGUCCUUAUAAAGCCACUGUGCCGUCCUGGGGAUUCUGUCCAUGGUCGUAUCUAAACUCAAGGUCCUGGGCAGGUAAUGAAGACAGUGAGCAAAAUCUCUGCCUCUUAGCGCACAGCAGUAGAUGUUUCAUUGCUUUGAAUGGAAGAAAUCUUGCUCCAUCAACCACAGAGAGGCUGGCCCACGACAAGCAGGAGAAGUGGAUCCCACCUCUCUCCCUGUGUCCUCCCUUGAAAAGUACCAUUGCACCUGAGGAAGAAGGGAAAGAGCCUACUGAGUGCUGCGAGGGGAGCUCAGGCUGAAGUCAGGACCUGGUGAGCACAGGGUCACUGGCCACACAGGGGAGGAGCGGGCGACUGAGCAGUGGUGGGUGGAGUGGUAGGGCCUCCCUGGGGCUGGUCCGGGAGACAGAUAGUUAGGCUAUUGGUGGACCGGGCACAAGUGCUACAAUCUCUGCAGAUCUGGAAAAGAUCCGGUCCUGGACUGGAAGCCCAGGCCAAGAACCUCUACUGAGUCCCUUAUGCACGCUCUAAUCCUAAGGAAGGUGCUCGUGCCAUUCAAGACUCACUGGCCAAUCAAAGCCUCUAUUCGUG
rnacentral:lncRNA from 1 species